rnacentral:tRNA from 1 species
CAGUAGCUCAGUGGAUAGAGCGUCUGCCUCCGGAGCAGAAGGUCGCAGGUUCGAAUCCUGUCUGGG